rnacentral:rRNA from 1 species
AGCGAACGCUGGCGGCAGGCCUAACACAUGCAAGUCGAACGAACCUUUCGGGGUUAGUGGCGGACGGGUGAGUAACACGUCGGAACGUGUCUUUAGGUUCGGAAGAACUCAGGGAAACUUGUGCUAAUACCGAAUGUGCCCCUCGGGGGAAAGAUUAAUCGCCCUUAGAGCGGCCUGCGUCCGAUUAGCCUGUUGCUUGAGGGUAUGCCUCACCAAGGCGACGAUCAUUAGCUGGGCUGAGAGGAUGAUCAGCCACAUUGGGAGCAUGACCCGGCCCAGACUCCUACGGGAGGCGGCAGUGGGGAAUCUUGCGCUAUCGGCGCAAGCCUGACGCAGCCGUGCCGGGUGAAUGAUGAAGGUCUUAGGAUUGUAAAAUUCUUUCACCCGGGACGAUAAUGACGGUACCCGGAGAAGAAGCCCCGGCUAACUUCGUG